AGAGUUUGAUCCUGGCUCAGAACGAACGCUGGCGGCAUGCUUCAUACAUGCAAGUCGAACGGUUGUAGCAAUACAAUAGUGGCGAACGGGUGCGUAACACGUGGAUAAUCUGCCCUUUGGCGGGGGAUAUCGGUUGGAAACGGCCGGCAAUACCGCAUGUGGCCUACGAAAUUCCGAUUUUGUAGAAGAAAGGCGCUUCACGGCGUCGCCAAAGGAUGAGUCCGCGGCCCAUUAGCUAGUUGGUGAGAUAAUAGCCCACCAAGGCUGUGAUGGGUAGCCGAGCUGAGAGGUUGAUCGGCCACACUGGGACUGAGACACGGCCCAGACACCUACGGGUGGCAGCAGUAGGGAAUAUUGGACAAUGGGCGAAAGCCUGAUCCAGCAAUGCCGCGUGAGUGACGAAGGAUUUCGGUCUGUAAAGCUCUUUUGUGAGGGAAGAAAUGACAUGUGAGGAAAUGCUCAUGUCUUGACGGUACCUCAUGAAUAAGGGACGGCUAACUCCGUGCCAGCAGCCGCGGUAAUACGGAGGUCCCAAGCGUUGUUCGGAAUUACUGGGCGUAAAGGGAGCGCAGGCGGACAGGUAAGUCUAAAGUGGAAUCCCGGGGCUCAACCUCGGAACUGCUUCGGAUACUGCCUGUCUUGAGUUCGUGAGAGGAAAGCGGAAUUCAGGGUGUAGCGGUGAAAUGCUUAGAUAUCCUGAGGAACACCAAUGGCGAAGGCAGCUUUCUGGCGCGAUACUGACGCUGAGGCUCGAAAGCGUGGGGAGCGAACGGGAUUAGAUACCCCGGUAGUCCACGCCGUAAACGUUGUGCGCUAGGUGUAGGAGGUAUCGACCCCUUCUGUGCCGCAGCUAACGCAUUAAGCGCACCGCCUGGGGAGUACGGUCGCAAGACUGAAACUCAAAGGAAUUGACGGGGGCCCGCACAAGCGGUGGAGCAUGUGGUUUAAUUCGAGGCAACGCGAAGAACCUUACCCAGACUUGACAUCCCAGGACAGCUUAUGAAAGUAAGUCCUCCCUUCGGGGACCCGGAGACGGGUGUUGCAUGGCUGUCGUCAGCUCGUGUCGUGAGAUGUUGGGUUAAGUCCCGCAACGAGCGCAACCCCUAUUCUUAGUUACCAUCGGGUAAUGCCGGGCACUCUAAGAAGACCGCCGGUGAUAAACCGGAGGAAGGCGGGGACUACGUCAAGUCAUCAUGGCCCUUACGUCUGGGGCUACACACGUGCUACAAUGGCCGGUACAAUGGGCUGCAAUACCGCGAGGUGGAGCCAACCCCAAAAAACCGGUCUCAGUUCGGAUUGGAGUCUGCAACUCGACUCCAUGAAGCCGGAAUCGCUAGUAAUCGAGGAUCAGCUACGCCUCGGUGAAUACGUUCCCGGGCCUUGUACACACCGCCCGUCACAUGACCCGAGUCGGUUGCACCCGAAGUCACUGGCCUAACCCGCAAGGGAAGGAGGUGCCGAAGGUGUGAUUGGUGAGGGGGAUGAAGUCGUAACAAGGUAGCCGUAUCGGGUGCGGCUGGAUC
rnacentral:rRNA from 1 species